UCUUUAUAUAGAUGUUUGCCGUUAAAAAAACUAGCACGGUUUGAUUUGGAAGUUUUGCAGUGAAAAACAUCACCUUCAAGUAGCAGCUGCUGAGAAGAUCGACCAGCUCAUGCCGGAGUUGGAGGCCAGAGGUUACGAUGGGUUUAACCUGGUGCAGAGGAUCCAGGAGGGAUUCACUUGGUUUAAAAAGAAGAAACAUAAACUCCUAUACAUACCAUUUCAUUUUUAGAGUUGGUUUGUACUUGAAACAGUCCGUCUUCUCUCAAGGUCAAUUGGAUGUUUUGAUAUUUAUAACAACCGCUUCUAUGAUCCCAAGAUUGUGCUAGAUUUUGUUGUGAGUAGAACCGAGUCCAUCCAUUUCUACAUUUGUAGGCUCACAAAACACAAAUUUAAUUAUAUCAUUUUUAUGCUCAUCGGUGCUUCCCAUAUCUUCAGAGGUGUUUCGCCACGUGUUUACCGUUCCAUUCUAACUUUUUUAGACGAGUUGUGCACCUCACGACGACUAAUACAUCACCGUUGAGAGCAACAUUCGAGUAACCCAACUCCAUCAAUUUCGCCAAUGUCUUGACGACUGACACAUCGUUGUCGAUAACAAGAUUCCGCAUGAACCAAUAUUGGCGCUGAAGAUGGCAUAUCUGACCCUUCGCUUCUUCGCAGUGGUGUUUCUUUUAUGCUAAAACGUGGUGGAUUCUUGAGACGAGUUGAGCAACUCACUUGAAAACUGAUACAUCACCGUCGAGAAAAAGAUUCCGCUAACCCAAAUCCAGUGAUUUCCGCCGGUAACUUGACGACUGACACAUCACUGUCGAGAGCAAGAUUCUGGAGUCAACAUUUGCUCACAUAGAGGGUUUAGAAGGUGUUGAUUCAUCAUUCAUAGGAUAUGCAGACGAAGUCGUGAAGGAACGUAUUGGAUGAAGUCAUAUUGAUCAAAGGAACUAAAACCACAAGUGCAUGGAUAAAACCUGGCCGAACUUUUUCUUUUUGUUCAUUUUCAUCGAGCCCUUUCUAUUGUAACUAUAAAAAGAAUUAAAUUAUCUAUUUGACCUAUUUAUACUAAUAAAGAUAUUAAAAUCUUCAUUGAAGA